UGUGCUCCUGUGGGGCUUGUUCUGUGGAAGGAGGCAAAUGCAAGGUUUGGGUUUCUUCCCAAGAAUUCGGCAGCCGCAUUGCAAAUAAGAUCACUACUUACAUUGCCCAUAUUUACAUAGUCUAAAUAUCACCGGAGAACGUCAGCUGCGAGAAUCUGCGUCACAGACAUGCCUUUAUCUUACUUUUUGCAAUGCACACGUCCAGUCACUGUGAGGUGUUCUUUGUUGCAAAUCAAGCGUCAAGCGCAAUUAAUGCUUAAGUACAAAUCUGGAAAUGUUUCCAAGAAGGAUUUCCAUCCUGGAGUUUUUAAAUUGCGUUCGCCCUGUUGUGAGCCAAAGCAAGGUUGAAAUACAGAGCGGAGGACUGAACAGGCAUUACCACAUGGUGCUGAUUGUGGUUAGCACUGCAAUAGCUUUCAUUACAUGGAUCAUUUCAGAAGACAGGUCACACAGGAUGGCAGAGAGGGACACUGAUGAGUGCAGUGUUCCUUCAAGGCUCAGAUAACAGGCUUGGAUAACUUCCUCUCUGAAAACUGAGGGAACUCGUGCUUGACAAAAUGCCCUAGCAGCCAGGGAAGCUCAGUCAAACCGCUGCAUCUGCUGUCUGGAAAACACAAGAACACGUGUGUCUUUGGCAAGCUGAAAGGUGAGUGACAAGAAUUACCAGCAAGCGUAGGAGUGUGAGAACACUCCUAAUUGUGUAGAGCAAGGAUCAAAUUUGGGAAAGACUACUUAUACAAAACAUACAGGGCUGAGAAAAAAAAAAUCUGGACGGAAAAAAAUCCUUGCAAGUGUAACAUACAGCAACACAGAUGUAUGGACAAAAAGCUGGGCAUGAGCCAGCAGUGUGCACUUGCAGCCAGAAGCCAACUGCAUCCUGGGCUGCAUCAACAGAGGGACGGCAGCAGGGAGAUGGAAGGGAUUUUUUCCCUCUGCUCUGCCCACCUGCAGCACUGUGUCCAGAUGUGGGGACCCCAGCUCAAGAAAGAUGUGGAGCUGUCUAGAGGAGGGCACAAAGACGAUCAGAGGGCUGGAGCACCUCUCCUGUGAAAGGCUGAGGGAAUUGGGCUUGUUCAGUCUGGAGAAGAGAAAGUUGCAGGGAGACCUCAUUUUGACCUUUCAGCACCUAAAGGGAGCUUAUAAACAGGAGGAAGACAGACUUUUUUACAUGGUCUGAUAGUGAUAGGACAAGGAGGAAUUGUUUUAAACUAAAAAAGGGGAUAUUUAGAUUAGAUAUUAGGGGGAAAUUACAUACUCAGAGGGUGGUGAGGCACAGGCUGCCCAAAGCAGCUGAGGAUGCCCCAUCCUUGGAGGCAUUCAAGGCCAGGCUGGAAGAGCCCUGGGCAUUCUGAGCUGUGGGCUGUAACCCUGCCUGCAGGAAGUGGUCUCUAAUGUCCCUGUCUAUCCAAGCUAUUCUGUGAUUCUAUGACUCCAGUCCAGAAAAUACUCCCUCCAUUCUGUAACCACUAGUAACAGCACCAUACACAUUGCUUUAACUUUCAUCAGAAGGCCUGGAUGGCACGCGGAACACUUCAUCUCACUUCAGCUCUUGGACUGCUGCAUUUUUAAGUUGAUAUGGACCUAUCCCCGUUCAUUAGUUCACUCUUCUGGGAACAGAUGCCUCCUGUUUAUCCAUAAGGAAAACUUCAUGCCUCUUCACCAGUCUAAAGACAUUCAUAAUGAGAAAAGAUAAAUUUCACAGAGGCCAAACCCUGAGCCACCACCUGAUCCUGCAGGUUUUCAUGAUAAUCUACAGUACCUGGACAGAAGGAGCUAGAAUGUGAAUGAUCAAUACACAACUAAAUCUCUACUACAUAACAAGUCCAAGUUGUUUCUAACUUGGGCUGAGCUUAGGUCUAUUUCUCAAUAGUAGGAAGACCAUAUUCUAUUGCAGGUACUUAAAGCUAUUGAAUCUUCUUGCUGUUAACUAGUUAAUAUACCGUAUGCAUGCAGGUUACUGGACUCCACAGCAAUGCUCAUAUUUGAAUAUUCUCUUUGAUAAUCCUCAUUCAGCUGGUAAGAUAUCUAGUUCACAGACAUUUUCUUUUAGUCUCUGGUCAUCCACUCUGGUUUUUGUAGAGGUGAAUGACAUUUUAGUAGUGGACUAAUAAAGGCUACAUCUGUAAACAGCAACUGUGGUGAUAGCAUAUUGCUAGAUACUCCCUAAAUCAAGACUGAUUUUUUUACUUUAGAAUUUUCUAAAACAACCACAUUGUGUUACUUAUUUGUGAUACUCUUACACAGUGCUUUGAGCCACUGUUUCCAUUAAUUUUCUAUGCGUCAGAUCACCCCACAUGCCACUAUAGAAGCUAUGUCCGUCAAAACAGUGAGCCUGUAUAUACUCAUUUUUUAACCUUCUCUUUGUUCAAAUGACUUAGUGUGAGUAUGAGAUGUAUUCUGUAAAUAUUCACUGCGUAAACCAGUCUAAUCCAAGACCAGAUCUGAUUUCUGCUGCAGCUAUUUUGAUCCGGCCAAUAAUUCAGCAAACAUAGCUGAGAGGCGACUGCUUUGUGUGCUAAGGCAGAAAUGUCUUUCCUCCCACCACCUCUGUGCUUUUAAUAAUUAUGAAUCAAUCCUCCAGCUGCUUAUCAGUGUUUCUUUCCACUGGACAGGAACAGUGAUAGCUCUGAACUAUGCAGCAAUGAGAAAGGUACAAAGAUUCGAGUACCAAAAGGAACAGUACUGCCAGCAGGUCCCAUUUACAUAGAUUGUUCUACUACAUAGAGGCUGCUGGAAAUCUGCCACUUCUACAGCACAGUGGGAACAAGGGGUCCUGUCAUCUGUCCCCGUGCUCAUUUUCCUUUCCUCCUAUGCCUGCUCUGUGCACAGCCAUUCCUCCCCUGCGCAGCUCAGACCAAAAUGAAAUUUUGACUGCUUCUUUCCUCCUACUGCAAUGGCUCGGUGCUCCUGCUGGACAGCUACAGAUUGCUAACUGUUCCUGGCACCGGAAGCCUCCGCAUGGACGUGAAGCCAAGAAGCCAAGAGAGAAACCAUAUUGCCAAGUCCAAGUACUCUGAAAUUGCAGCAACCUUUUCCCUACACAAAAAGUGGGUUAUUAUGUGUAUUCUGUUGCUCUGUGUUUUCAGUAAACACAUUUCAAACUC